rnacentral:rRNA from 1 species
AACCAGCACCUCAAGUGGUCAGGAUGAUUAUUGGGCCUAAAGCAUCCGUAGCUUGCUUUGUAAGUUCUCGGUUAAAUCCAUGCGCUUAACGUAUGGGCUGCCGGCAAUACUGCAAAGCUAGGGAGUGGGAGAGGUAGACGGUACUCGGUAGGAAGGGGUAAAAUCCUUUGAUCUAUUGAUGACCACCUGUGGCGAAGGCGGUCUACCAGAACACGUCCGACGGUGAGGGAUGAAAGCUGGGGGAGCAAACCGG